rnacentral:rRNA from 1 species
AUGUUGAACAACAUCAAGAUUGUGUUCUGGAACGUGCGUGGCCUGAACUACCGCGCCGGGCGUACUGUCGUCCGUAGUAUGGUUUCCUCCGCUGCGCCAUCCAUCGUUUGCCUCCAAGAAACCAAACUCUCCCUGGUCUCGUCUGACAUCGUUGCCCAUACUCUGGGUCCUGAGUUCGCCGAUUACUACUGGCUGCCUGCGGAUGGCAUUCGAGGCGGCAUCAUC